rnacentral:rRNA from 1 species
GAUGAACGCUAGCUACAGGCUUAACACAUGCAAGUCGAGGGACCGGCACACGGGUGAGUAACACGUAUCCGACCUGCCCUUUACUCGGGGAUAGCCUUUCGACAGAGAAAUUAAUACCCAAACUAAAGGAUGGGGAUGCGUUCCUUUAGGUUGUUGGUGAUGUAAAGGCUCACCAAGCCUUCGAUGGAUAGGGGUUCUGAGAGGAAGGUCCCCCACAUUGGAACUGAGACACGGUCCAAACUCCUACGGGAGGCAGGAGUGAGGAAGAUUGGGCAAGGGGCGCUAGCCUGAACCAGCCAAGUAGCGUGAAGGAUGAAGGCUUAUGGGGCGUAAAUUUCUUGUAUAUAAGAAUAUGUAUUAUAUGAAUAAGGAUCGGCUAACUCCGUGCCAGCAGCCGCGGUAAUUC